UGACUCUUCAGGGGUAGCCUUGGGUC
rnacentral:piRNA from 1 species